CACGUAAGUUGCGAGCGUUGUUCGGAAUUAUUGGGCGUAAAGGGCAUGUAGGCGGUUAUGCAAGCUUGGUGUGAAAGGCAGGAGCUCAACUCCUGGACUGCAUUGAGAACUGCAAAACUAGAGUCACUGAGGGGCAAUCAGAAUUCCAGGUGUAGGGGUGAAAUCUGUAGAUAUCUGGAAGAAUACCAAUGGCGAAAGCAGGUUGCCAGCAGAUGACUGACGCUGAGGUGCGAAGGUGCGGGGAGCAAACAGG
rnacentral:rRNA from 1 species